rnacentral:rRNA from 1 species
AAACAGGAGAGGUUGGAACUGCUUUGAAAGGGGGGACUCAAACCCACCGACGCGGUACCGCUGCGCGUCGUGUACGGUGUCGGCAGCCGGCCCCUCCGCAAGGUUGGGUGUCCGGCGUUAGGCGGCAACGGCGGCGCGCGGGAGAUGGUUAAGGUCGGCAGGAUGCACUUCCCCCCUAGUAGACGUCGCGACCCGUUGGGCCGUGUCCGGUCUAGGGACCUGGAAUUGAGACCGAGGCGGGGGGCCGUGUCACUUUUACCGGUUCCUCCGCAGCGGACCCGGGUGAUCCCGACCGGGGCUCGACGGAAGAAAUUGGAGGGGGGCGAUGCCCGCUCCCGCACUUCGGUGCGCGGCAGCGUCCGGGCCGGGUUUCGGCAAGCUUUCCAGGUGCGCAGAAGCGUCGUACGCCUCCGGCGUGCGGUCGUUCCGGUAGGCGUGGCUUGCGUCACGCUCCGGGCCACGUGGGGCUGUUGGCUCCCGGAGUACCUCGGACCGAGGAAUGCCCCUGUCCGCGGCGCUUUAUCUUCCGAUGCUCUCCCGAC